GCCAUGGCGUUUUUCAAUGCCACCAAAUUCUCAAUUGAAAAUUUUU
rfam:Danio rerio chromosome 6, GRCz11 reference primary assembly.